UACGUAGGGGCUAGCGUUGUCCGGAUUUAUUGGGCGUAAGAGCGUGUAGGCGGCCAGGUAGGUCUGCUGUGAAAACUCGAGGCUCAACCUCGAGACGUCGGCGGAAACCAUCUGGCCUAGAGUCCGGAAGAGGAGAGUGGAAGUUCCUGGUGGUAGCGGUGAAUGACGCAGAUAUCAGGAAGAACACCCGUGGCGAAGGCGGCUCUCGUGGGACGGUACUGACGCUGAGACGCGAAGCGUGGGGAGCGAACAGG
rnacentral:rRNA from 1 species